GAGCCACGUGUGUCCUGGCCUUUUCAGGACCGCAGGAGUGUCGUGCUGCUUUUCUUAAUGGGAAUUGAACUUAGGAGAUGAUUGUCCUAAGAGGUGUAGGGGAAGAGAAGAGGGUGCCCAAAAAGGAGGAGUUUGGUUUCCUGGUGCCCAUGAGGGCGUGGCCACCUGGGUGACCUGCAGGGCAUAUUGGGGAGGCCCUAUUUGAGAGCUGGAGAAGGGUGAGUAGAAGAAAUGCCCAGAACCAUUCCUCUCAGCCGUGAACUCUACAAAGUUGAAAUAUACAACUCAAGCCUAAAGUAAAAGAUGGCUUUGUACAUUCUUUUGGACUCCAUGUAUGUAUUGGAUUGACUAACUAUAAGUUUGGUUAAUAAUGCACUGUAUCACCCUUCCCUAUACUGUUAACGAUGUGAUACUGGAGUUACAUUAAAAUAGUUAUUAUGAUUGGGGAUGAACUAUAAAGAGCCCUCGUUUUGCUUAUACUGUACCCUAUAAGUCAUUUCAGUGACUUGAAUAAAUAAUGCUCCUUUAACCCA
rnacentral:lncRNA from 1 species